ensembl:ncRNA W02B12.18 ncRNA
CACAGCGGGGAUUCUUUUAUUAUUAUAAAAUCAUAUGCAUAUACAGGCCCCUACUAAUAAUAGUCGUGGCACCCCCCUACAUCCCGGAAAUAGUAUGGUGAAUAGAGAGACGCCGAGA